rnacentral:ncRNA from 1 species
AUUGUUUGAAUCUAGCAAAACUAAUGGCUCUCCUUAAUUUCAUAUAUGCAAACCUUUCAACCCCGUAUAACCCCCAUAUAUUAAAUAUCUCUAAACGCCGCAAUAUAAAGACCUAAACAAAUUGUAAGACAAAUAAUGGAAGAAAUGAAAAGAGGUGGUAAAAAUCGUGCCAGCAACCGCGGUUAAACGAUAGCCCCUAGCCAUUACCAACGGGUAAGUGGAACAAACUCUGACAUAAAAAACUAAAUUCUAUAGGUCCAAUUUAAGAUAAUAUUAAACCUUUAUGUCUAAUUACCCCUCCACGAAAGCUUAAACAAAAACAAGGAUUAGAGACCCUUCUAUAUUAAGCCAACAAAAAAUACCCGGGUAGUAAAAACAACUGUUCUAAACCUAAAAAUCUUGGCGGUAUCUAAACCAACCAGGGGAACCUGUUCUUUAAUACGACAACCCACGAGACAAACAACCUUAUUUUGAUAACCAGCCUGUAUAUUGCCGUCUCAGCCUACUUUGAAAAAAUGUAGACAAAAAGAUCUACCACCUUAAUCUCAGGUCUUAAUGCAGCCAAUAAUAAGGGAGAAAUGGGUUACACCCUAAACAACAGAUUCUACCAAUAUGUAAUUUAUUCCACAUUGAAGCUGGACUUGGAAGUAAUUAUAUCAAGUCAUAAUAUAAUGAAUCUGGCAAACUUAGAUAUGCACAAAUCGCCCGUCACUCUCGCCGAAAGGGGAGAUAAGUCGUAACAUAGUUGGUGUAAUGGAAAUUGCACCAAU